rnacentral:rRNA from 1 species
GACGAACGCUGGCGGCGUGCUUAACACAUGCAAGUCGAACGGUAAGGCCCCAGCUUGCUGGGGUACACGAGUGGCGAACGGGUGAGUAACACGUGAGUGACCUGCCCCGCACUUCGGGAUAAGCCUGGGAAACUGGGUCUAAUACCGGAUACGACCGCCCGGUGCGGGGUGGGUGGAAAGUUGUUCGGUGUGGGAUGGGCCCGCGGCCUAUCAGCUUGUUGGUGGGGUAAUGGCUUACCAAGGCGGCGACGGGUAGCCGGCCUGAGAGGGUGGACGGCCACAUUGGGACUGAGAAACGGCCCAGACUCCUACGGGAGGCAGCAGUGGGGAAUAUUGCACAAUGGGCGGAAGCCUGAUGCAGCGACGCCGCGUGGGGGAUGACGGCCUUCGGGUUGUAAACCCCUUUCACCAUCGACGAAGGUUUUCUGACGGUAGAUGGAGAAGAAGCACCGGCUAACUACGUG